CACGUAGGGGGCAAGCGUUGUCCGGAUUUAUUGGGCGUAAAGAGCGUGUAGGCGGCCAGGUAGGUCUGCUGUGAAAACUCGAGGCUUAACCUCGAGCUGUCGGCGGAAACCAUCUGGCUAGAGUCCGGAAGAGGAGAAUGGAAUUCCCGGUGUAGCAGUGAAAUGCGUAGAGAUGCGGAGGAACACCGAUGGCGAAGGCAGCCCCCUGGGCUAACACUGACGCUCAGGCACGAAAGCGUGGGGAGCAAACAGG
rnacentral:rRNA from 1 species